GUUUAUACAUGGAGCGUGCUCCCUCUGCCUAUAAAAGUUCUUGCCCACUGAUUGGGUUAGGGAGGAGUCGGCCUUUGGAUAUGAGCCCCCUGCCCUUGGCUGCCAGCCUCCAAAAUAAAGCAAACUUUUCUUUCCACUAAUCUUACCUCUUUAUUGGCUUUCCAGCGGGAAGCAGCUGGGCUCACUUUCGCUAACAGAUUUUGGCGCCAACGUGAGGCUGUGCUCUCGCGAUAUCUGGCUCCUGGGGGUUUCUCCAUUGGUGCUGCUGCCGUGACGACGUGCUAGGAAGGCUGUGAGGAGCCUCGCUGGCCCCAGGAAGAGGUUUGGGGAGGAUAUUCCUAGCAGCUGCCUAAAGCAUUGGUUUCGGGGGUCCUUCCUGCUUCUCCUCUGCUCAGCACUGGCUGCCCAUAUGUGCUUUUCCUUGGUGGAAUGAGAAGACACCUCUGGACAAGCUGACGAGCUCCCAGACCCACUCCACAACUAAGGAUCUAAAGCAGCAAAGAAAGUUAGAAGGCUAAGAAGGCUAUCUACUAGAGAAACUUUCGAGGUUGCAAAAUGGUUCAACUGCCAGCACCUUUUGGGAAAGUCACUGAAUUAUAUACAAAGAGUUUAACACCGAAGAGUUUAAGACCUAAGCAUCAAGAUGAAACAAAGUUCUUCAUUGUGACAUCAAGAUUCUUUGUUGCUGCAUGCAGGCUUUCUCUAGCUGUGGUCUCUGGGCUUCCCUGGCUGUGGAGCACAGGCUUCCAUGUGAGCAGGCUCAGCAGUUGCUGCUCUCAGGCCUCUCCAGUUGUGGCACACAGGCUCUCUACGUGUAGUGCGUGGGUUUAGUUGCUCCAAGGCACGAGGGAUCUUAGUUCCCCAACCAGGGAUCAAAACCAUGCCCUCUGCAUUGGAAGGUAGAUUCUUAAUCACUGGACUCCCAGGUUGGCAAGGUCAUCAGUGAUCUCUCUGACGCUCUCUCACCCCUACUGUGUUCUUGGUACAGGAAGGACAGUGAGCACACUUUAUGGAACAGAUGGAGAUGAGGGAGUCUGGAUCCCACUGCUCCCUCCUUCCACUCUCCAGUCUUUAGCUAUUGGCUAAAGUCAACCAGAGACAAGGAAACCAUGUAAGUCUAUGCAGGUCAGCCUCCUGGGGGAUGGAGCAUGUAGAGAAGGGCAGAAAGCAGAUCCGGAGAACCAAAUGAAAGAGACCCAUCACCCUGAGCCUAGGUCACUGGCCUAGACACCAGCUGUAAGUCUAGGAAGGUGAGGGCCGAGUGUGUGAGACCUGCCUCCUAC
ensembl:lncRNA